UACGGGGGAUACAAGCGUUGUCCGGAAUGAUUGGGCGUAAAGCGUCUGUAGGUGGCUUAUGAAGUCUGCUGUUAAAUACCAGGGCUUAACCUUGGGAAAGCGGUGGAAACUCUUGAGCUGGAGUUCGGUAGGGGCAGAGGGGAAUUCCUAGUGUAGCGGUGAAAUGCGUAGAUAUUAGGAAGAACACCGAUAGCGAAAAGCACUCUGCUGGGCCUGAACUGACACUGAGAGACGAAAGCUAGGGGAGCAAAAAGG
rnacentral:rRNA from 1 species